rnacentral:sRNA from 1 species
UGAAUGGGAAUUCGUAUAAGCCAAAUGGCGU